UCUAAGGUCAUUCGGCAUUUGAAGCAAACUGGAAAGUGGACAUUAUACGACAACUGGCAAUGACCAGCUCAAUGGCUGGACAGAGAAGAAGCUCCAAAGCACUUCCCAAAGCCAAACCUGCACCA